AGAGUUUGAUCCUGGCUCAGAACGAACGCUGGCGGCGCGUUUUAAGCAUGCAAGUCGAACGGUAAUAGAGUGCUUGCACUCUAUUAGAGUGGCGAACGGGUGAGUAGCACGUAGAUGAUCUAUCUUUGGAUCUGGGAUAGCCUGUGGAAACACAGGGUAAUACCGGAUACGACCUUUUGGCUACGGCUGGAAGGGGAAAGUCGCUUAGGCGACGUCCGAUGAUGAGUCUGCGGCUCAUUAGCUUGUUGGUAGGGUAAUGGCCUACCAAGGCGACGAUGAGUAGCCGGCCUGAGAGGGUGAUCGGCCACACUGGGACUGAGACACGGCCCAGACUCCUACGGGAGGCAGCAGCUAAGAAUCUUCCGCAAUGGGGGAAACCCUGACGGAGCGACGCCGCGUGAACGAUGAAGGCCGGAAGGUUGUAAAGUUCUUUUCCUGGGGGAGAAUAAUGCUUGGAGGUAAUGCCAGGCAGAUGACGUGAACCAGGGAAUAAGCCCCGGCUAAUUACGUGCCAGCAGCCGCGGUAACACGUAAGGGGCAAGCGUUGUUCGGAUUUAUUGGGCGUAAAGGGCGUGUAGGCGGUGAGAUAAGUUUGGUGUGAAAGAUCCCGGCUCAACCGGGGGGACGCGCUGAAAACUGUCUUACUAGAGUGAUGGAGGGGAAACUGGAAUUCCUGGUGUAGGGGUGAAAUCUGUAGAGAUCAGGAAGAACACCGGAGGCGAAGGCGAGUUUCUGGCCAUCUACUGACGCUGAGGCGCGAAAGCGUGGGGAGCGAACAGGAUUAGAUACCCUGGUAGUCCACGCUGUAAACGAUGUGCACUAGGUGUUGGUCCGUUGAGGAUCAGUGCCGUAGCUAACGCGUUAAGUGCACCGCCUGGGGAGUAUGCUCGCAAGGGUGAAACUCAAAGGAAUUGACGGGGGCCCGCACAAGCGGUGGAGCAUGUGGUUUAAUUCGAUAUACGCGAGAAACCUUACCAGGGCUUGACAUAAGCACGACGGUUGUAGAGAUACAGCUUCUCUUCGGAGCAUGUUUACAGGUGCUGCAUGGCUGUCGUCAGCUCGUGCUGUGAAGUGUUCGGUUAAGUCCCGCAACGAGCGCAACCCUUGCUGUCUGUUGCCAACAGGUAAUGCUGGGAACUCGGACGGUACUGCCGGUGACAAACCGGAGGAAGGUGGGGACGACGUCAAGUCAUCAUGGCCCUUAUGUCCU
rnacentral:rRNA from 1 species